GAUGAACGCUAGCGGCAGGCUUAACACAUGCAAGUCGAGGGGUAUAGGCUUUCGGGCCUAGAGACCGGCGCACGGGUGCGUAACGCGUAUGCAAUCUGCCUUACACUAAGGGGAUAGCCCAGAGAAAUUUGGAUUAAUACCUUAUAGUAUAUUGAUGUGGCAUCACAUUAUUAUUAAAGAUUUAUCGGUGUAAGAUGAGCAUGCGUCCCAUUAGCUAGUUGGUAUGGUAACGGCAUACCAAGGCGAUGAUGGGUAGGGGUUCCUGAAAGGGAGAUCCCCCACACUGGUACUGAGACACGGACCAGACUCCUACGGGAGGCAGCAGUGAGGAAUAUUGGACAAUGGGGCGCAAGCCUGAUCCAGCCAUGCCGCGUGCAGGAUGACGGUCCUAUGGAUUGUAAACUGCUUUUUGUACGGGAAGAAACCACUCCAACGUGUUGGAGCUUGACGGUACCGUAAGAAUAAGGAUCGGCUAACUCCGUGCCAGCAGCCGCGGUAAUACGGAGGAUCCAAGCGUUAUCCGGAAUCAUUGGGUUUAAAGGGUCCGGUAGGCGGUUUUGUAAGUCAGUGGCUGAAAAUUCCCGGGGCAGCUCAACUGUCGCACUGCCAUUGAUACUGCAGGACUUGAAUUAUUGGUGAAGUAACUAGAAUAUGUAGUGUAGCGGUGAAAUGCUUAGAUAUUACAUGGAAUACCCA
rnacentral:rRNA from 1 species